CCUACGGGAGGCAGCAGUGAGGGAUAUUGGUCAAUGGACGAGAGUCUGAACCAGCCAAGUAGCGUGAAGGAUGACUGCCCUAUGGGUUGCAAACUUCUUUUAUAUGGGAAUAAAAUGUUCCACGUGUGGGGUUUUGUAUGUACCAUAUGAAUAAGGAUCGGCUAACUCCGUGCCGGCAGCCGCGGUAAUACUGAGGAUCCGAGCGUUAUCCGGAUUUAUUGGGUUUAAAGGGAGCGUAGGUGGAUUGUUAAGUCAGUUGUGAACGUUUGCGGCUCAACCGUAAAAUUGCAGUUGAAACUGGCAGUCGGGAGUACAGUAGAGGUGGGCGGAAUUCGUGGUGUAGCGGUGAAAUGCUUAGAUAUCACGAAGAACUCCGAUUGCGAAGGCAGCGCACUGGACUGCAACUGACACUGAGGCUCGAAAGUGUGGGUAUCAAACAGGAUUAGAUACCCCGGUAGUC
rnacentral:rRNA from 1 species